rnacentral:rRNA from 1 species
CCUACGGGAGGCAGCAGUGAGGAAUAUUGGUCAAUGGACGAGAGUCUGAACCAGCCAAGUAGCGUGAAGGAUGACUGCCCUAUGGGUUGUAAACUUCUUUUAUAUGGGAAUAAAAUGUUCCACGUGUGGGAUUUUGUAUGUACCAUAUGAAUAAGGAUCGGCUAACUCCGUGCCAGCAGCCGCGGUAAUACGGAGGAUCCGAGCGUUAUCCGGAUUUAUUGGGUUUAAAGGGAGCGUAGGUGGAUUGUUAAGUCUGUUGUGAAAGUUUGCGGUUCAACCGUAAAAUUGCAGUUGAAACUGGCAGUCUUGAGUACAGUAGAGGUGGGCGGAAUUCGUGGUGUAGCGGUGAAAUGCUUAGAUAUCACGAAGAACUCCGAUUGCGAAGGCAGUUCACUGGACUGCAACUGACACUGAGGCUCGAAAGUGUGGGUAUCAAACAGGAUUAGAUACCCGUUUAGUC